UGGGGAAUAUUGGGCAAUGGGCGCAAGCCUGACCCAGCAACGCCGCGUGAAGGAAGAAGGCUUUCGGGUUGUAAACUUCUUUUGACAGGGAAGAGCAGAAGACGGUACCUGUCGAAUAAGCCACGGCUAACUACGUGCCAGCAGCCGCGGUAAUACGUAGGUGGCAAGCGUUGUCCGGAUUUACUGGGUGUAAAGGGCGUGUAGCCGGGCUGACAAGUCAGAUGUGAAAUCCGGGGGCUCAACCCCCGAACUGCAUUUGAAACUGUUGGUCUUGAGUAUCGGAGAGGCAGGCGGAAUUCCUAGUGUAGCGGUGAAAUGCGUAGAUAUUAGGAGGAACACCAGUGGCGAAGGCGGCCUGCUGGACGACAACUGACGGUGAGGCGCGAAAGCGUGGGGAGCAAACAGG
rnacentral:rRNA from 1 species